rnacentral:rRNA from 1 species
GACGAACGCUGGCGGCGUGCUUAACACAUGCAAGUCGAGCGGUAAGGCCCUUUCGGGGGUACACGAGCGGCGAACGGGUGAGUAACACGUGGGUGACCUGCCUUUAGCUCUGGGAUAAGCCUGGGAAACCGGGUCUAAUACCGGAUAUGACUCCGCGGCGCAUGUUGUGGGGUGGAAAGCCUUGUGCGGCUGGAGAUGGGCCCGCGGCCUAUCAGCUUGUUGGUGGGGUGAUGGCCUACCAGGGCGACGACGGGUAGCCGGCCUGAGAGGGCGACCGGCCACACUGGGACUGAGACACGGCCCAGACUCCUACGGGAGGCAGCAGUGGGGAAUCUUGCGCAAUGGGCGAAAGCCUGACGCAGCGACGCCGCGUGAGGGAUGACGGCCU